GGCCGGUUGGCGCAAUGGUGAGUUCCAAAUCUCCUAAAACAGAUCACAAGCAAACAGCCCACUAAUAACAGAAUAGGUAGCGUGUGAUCCUCCUAUAAAGGUGUAUCAAUCAGAUCAAGGUUGCGUGUUCGAGUCCCGCAUCGGCCU